GACGAACGCUGGCGGCGUGCUUAACACAUGCAAGUCGAACGGAAAGGCCUCUUUCGGGGGGUACUCGAGUGGCGAACGGGUGAGUAACACGUGAGUAACCUGCCCUUGACUUUGGGAUAACUUCAGGAAACUGGGGCUAAUACCGGAUAGGAGCUCCUGCUGCAUGGUGGGGGUUGGAAAGUUUCGGCGGUUGGGGAUGGGCUCGCGGCUUAUCAGCUUGUUGGUGGGGUAGUGGCUUACCAAGGCUUUGACGGGUAGCCGGCCUGAGAGGGUGACCGGCCACAUUGGGACUGAGAUACGGCCCAGACUCCUACGGGAGGCAGAAGUGGGGAAUAUUGCACAAUGGGUGGAAGCCUGAUGCAGCAACGCCGUGUGCGGGAUGACGGCCUGCGGGUUGUAAACCGCUUUCGCCUGUGACGAAGCGUGAGUGACGGUAAUGGGUAAAGAAGCACCGGCUAACUACGUG
rnacentral:rRNA from 1 species